rnacentral:rRNA from 1 species
UACGGGGGAGCAAGCGUUGUUCGGAUUUACUGGGCGUAAAGGGCGCGUAGGCGGCCACCGCAAGUCGGUUGUGAAAUCUCUGGGCUUAACCCAGAAAGGUCAACCGAUACUGCGGGGCUAGAGUGCAGAAGGGGCAACUGGAAUUCUCGGUGUAGCGGUGAAAUGCGUAGAUAUCGAGAGGAACACCUGCGGCGAAGGCGGGUUGCUGGGCUGACACUGACGCUGAGGCACGAAAGCGUGGGGAGCAAACAGG